CUUGGGGCCUGGACAUGUGUGGGAAGAAGAGGUGUAGGGGAGAGGCCUGGCACGGAUGGGAACUUUUUGGGGACAAUGUGGAAGAGGACAGUAGGUUUGGGGUAAGCUGUCUGUGGUGAGGACAUGGAUCCAAGUGGAGCUGCCUCUCUGGCCAGGGGCAGCUCAUCUACAGGCGGUGUCAGUCCCAGGAGGUGGUAGGUGACUGCUCUAGUGCAGCUGCCCUCACCAAAUGGGUGUAUUUCAGCCUGCCCUUGGCCGAACUGUAUCUGGGUUGUGGCCAGAAGAGGGGAAAAAAAAAUCUCAUGGGCUGAGCACAUGGUCUCCUAAACUGUACUCUUGGCUCUCGGUGGUGAGUGUUGAACUUGGUAGGUUGUUGAGCCUUUGUGUGCUUUGGUAUCUCCAUCUAUGAAGCAGAGAUAACAGUUGGCUUCAUGCAGGGAUUAAUUAUCACAUCUUGUAGUCACGUAUUUGUUUAUUUGUUUUUACUAUAGAUUACAGCUGGAGGAAUUCUAAACAGUUCACUUCUCCUUGUCAUGGUGUUUGAGCGCAUUGUGCUCCGUCUGAACAGAGGAAAUCACUGAGGAAGCAAAGGACUGGAUACCCUAAACAGUAACUGCAGUGGAGCCAUUUCCAGGGUAAGGAGUUUCCUAGUGUGAGUAAGGGAAUUGAACUUCACAAAGCUGUAAAUACCGUGUUGUCAUAGUUCACUUUAUAUAUAUAUAUAUAUAUAUUUACAUAUUUACAUAUUAAAAAAAAAAGACUGCAAAUACUUAGGAUUAUCAGUAUAGUGGGAUAAAGGUAACACUUCCCAUCUGAAGUGGUAUUGGCCUGGCCAGACAGGCUGUGGGGCAGAAAGACCCCCAGAAGUGUACAGGUAAUAAAUCAAUCACUGAAGUUUCCAUUCAGGGCCCAUACCUAACUGGAAUAAGGCACAUAAGCCAUGGGAUAUCUUCUGUCACCACAUGCAAGCUUUUUCCCUAUGCCUGACUGGUCAGCCUGGCUGGAUGUCAUGGUAAAGGGAGGUGACAUCAAAACCAAGCUAUUUUAGAUCUGCAACCUCAGUUCUGCAAAGGUGUUUAUUUUGAAAAUUCUAGUUUCCAUAGCGAUGUAGUGCUGUUCUCUCUCAUCUUUCUCCCAUUAACCCAAUCUUAGCAGCCAUUAGAUAAAUUAUCAGUGAGGCAAACCUUAGCAUUUUUUAAUCUUAAGUGAUUUUAUAUGUGUUGGUUCCUUAGUGAAUCAGAGGCAUUUAGUCAAGGAUUGACUCAUAUCCUUUCCUGGGGCUGACAUGAGGUCUAUUGCAGUAAAAAGAUGAUAAUGAAGAGUGAAUAUUAUUAAUUGGACUUGAUGAAUGAAUUGGUAGUGGGGGGGGCCUUAUGUCUAGAAUUCUCGUUCAGUUAUAUGUCUUUAGAUUUUACUUGGGUUCCAGUAUAACUUCAUUAAGACAUCAUAUUUUUGUUUCAUACAUGUAGUAAAUAAGCCCUUUUGUAAGGGUUGCUGUGUACUGCUGUUCCACUGCUUUUCUCCACCCCAGAGGUGACUUUUGGACACAGUUCCCCUUCCCAUUGUUAACAGAGCCAGUGCUCAUAGCUCAUUCCUUCAUUCUUUUCAAUACCUACAAAAAAUGCAGUCAUGAAAAUAAGACAAUAUCAUUUUUAUUGGUGUGUUUUGUUUGUUUGGUAGUUGUUGUUGUUUUAUUUUGUUUCCUGGUGCAUUUGGCCUUUCCUGGUCAAGAAACUACUAGUUUUGCCAGAAUAGUUAUGCAGGUUGGAAUGUAAAAAUCCCAGACUUAACCCUGCAGCAGUAAUGGUAUGCAAAAACCAAAGAUGUGGAGAUGAUUUAUUCUGAUGGUGUAGCUUGCCUUUUAAGGAGAUGAUUUAGUGAGUUCUUUUGCCUAUAUGAACUGUAUCUCCACCUGGGGAGCUAUGCCAGAAUAGCUGUUCCAUAAACCUUUGCUGUGAACAACAGCCUUUGUCCUGGAAUUCAGUCCUCAUGAGCAGGUAAGCAAUGAAUUACAGAAACUGUGUGGGAGAAGUAGAGUGGCACUGUGGACCAGAUUCCAAGAUAAGGAAGUAGGGCUAAAUACAGGCAAGGGUUAGCCUUUGACUCCUGCAGUGUCCUCACUUAGUAACAAAAAUACCCGAAUUGUGUAAAAUAGAACACAGAUCCAGUGAGCUGAGCAUGCAGGAACUCCUCUGUGGAAUCUGGAUUUUAACAGGCAUCUGCUGCACAGUGCCCAUUGCUUGCCCUGCCAGCCAGUCUGUUUUCCUCCCCAACUAGAGCUAUCAGCUGUCUCAUAUGUACUCAGUCCAUGAGUUCUUCAGAGAAGAUGGGUUUUCAAAAGUAAGUUCUUCACCCUGCUUCUAUUUAAGCUCCCCAGGCCCUGGAUAUCUGGCAGAAAUAGCCUCUUAAAUCCCAAGAGGUAUAAGUCACUUGUGCUCCAAAGAAUAGUAAUCCUAACAAAAUGUCUAUUUUAGAUGUCGAAUAUUUACUUUUAGCUGAAUUAUGCCCAUUAAUUGGAAAACUAAUAAUACUUUGCUCUUCACAAUGUAGCUUAUCAGUGAAUCCUGAUAUAUAUUUUAUGCAAAAUAUUAAAAGGUUGUUGCUUAUCUUUUAAUUUACCUUUUUUUCCCCCUUCAUGUUCCUGCAUUCCUAUGUUUUGAGAUAAGGUGAACAAAAGUUCUCCAGCUGCUAUCUCUAAGCUAUGCAUUCUGCAAUACCUUCACUGUGUUCUUUCUGAUUCACUCCCUCUGAGGUGAAUGGUCCCAGUCUUUUUAAAUUUCCUUCAGACAAGGGCUCUUCCCAAUCCCUAAUCUUGUAGUCUACCAUCAUUGCCCUGUGUCACAUAAUGAAGCAGCAGUCGCAGUAAUAACUCAAACAAUAACCCCUCCAGAUCUGGUGUUCUGUCAGUGCUGAGCAUUGUUAAGUGGGAGAUCCUGAGUGCAAACACAAGCAGAGGAGUCCCCAUAUACCAAAUGCAGACAUACCCAAUCCACAUUUAAAAACUUUUUUUUUUUUAAUUUCCUGUUUCAAAAUAACUGUUUGGUGUCCAAAUGGAAUGAGAAUGAAAUGUGACUAGCAGCCUUGUGACUGUUGUGUUGUAUAACAAGAUAAAAAGUGCUUGGGAUUUGUGGAUUGAGCUUUUUUCAUUUGUCUUCCAGAGGUCAAAGUCUACUGCAAGCAGUGACCGAUACAAUUCCCUGUGUAAGUCAGGCUGGACUGCCUGUGCCUCAGGUUCUAACAGCAGGGGAGUUUGUGCAGGAGCACCUUGGUAGGUGUUUGUCUGGAUUUCUCGGUGGUCCCUGUGAUGAUCCUAGGAAGCAGGAGGAGAUCCAGAAUUGUCUGAAAGCCAGGAUUCUCUGAAAUCCCAGAGUAGUGAUAAGACUUGUGGCUGAGGCCAACCUGCUAGCCUGCUUCCUAUUCUGCUUCUUGUACGUAUCCAAGAAGCUGUCUCCAGUUUAUACUGCUGUACUCUAGUAAACAAUUUUGCAUGCAGAUAUGGGCAGCAGAUGUUACUCAUGCCUGUGUGAACACUUCAGUGUUUUUACAACAGGGAUGAUCCUUGGAGUGAGUCCUGUUAAACAAUGGAUGUACCCACCAGAAGUCCCACAGGUUACAGCCAUUCUGUUACAGCUUGCUCAAAACACUUUGAAGGAUGGUCACGCCAUCCUUCUUUGGCCACUCAAGGGGAUUGACUCACAAAUACGAGCAAAAUAAAAUUAGAUGGCUUAAGUAGCUGCAACCCCAGCUGUGUCCCCGCUGCCCAAUUCCCAGAAGGUCAUCCCUGCAGCCAGGCUGGCUGUGGAAGGCAACUCCUGAGCUGCUGUAGUGACAGCCCAUUCUUCAGGGUGUUAAAAUUUGUCUGGCUCCUCUGUGACACAGUUUAGGAAGCUUAACCAGAAUAAAAAUGUGCACUUUUCCAUCUGAAGAAUUAUUUUUUAGUUUAAUUUCUCAAAUGGGCUCUGAGAAGCAGCAGCGUUGCUGUGAGGGCAGGGCAGGGAGAGAUGACCUUCCCUUUUGGGAGCAGCCAUUACGUCAGUUUUGCUGCCUCACAAAACUAUACCCUAUGGUUAUUUUUGGUGCUGGACUGCCUUAAUUUUCUGGAGAGUGAAUGAAGGAUUAGCAUAGUGUGCUUAUGAUAUUUGGAAACUAAGCUUUUAGGAAAAAAAAUCAUAAUUCAGCAUGUGAUGAGGUAGAAAUGCUUAAAUUGUUAAGGAAGGGAAAGAUGAGCAAAACGUGAAUUUUUUACAAUUUUUACAAUUCAGUUAGGGGGUUAAAUCCUUUUUUAAUGUUUUGGGUUUUGCUGCUUUUUAAGACCUCUAACCCAAUGCCUACUAUCCAGCUGCCUCUAGAGAGAGAAGUCUUUAAAGAGACCAGCUUUGUACCUAUAAAUAAUGUACACAGCAGAGUACAAAAAUGGAGUCAAGGAGAAGCUCCUCCUUACCUGAGUGUAACUGCAGCAGCUCUGUGAGAAUAGCUGUGGUCAGGCUGUGAGCAGCUCUCCUACCCUGUCAUCCAUCUUGACUAAACUGCUUCUGAGAACUAAUUCUGAGAUUCCAACACUUGAAUAUCAACUGGUAAAUCCCAACUGCCUUGUACUGAAACGCAUUAUUUGCCAGCAGCCAAAUGUGGCAAGGUUUUGAACAGUGUGGUUAUAAUCCUGCUUGGAACUAAAGGUCUGCUGGGAUGCUUCAAGUUGGAUGUGUUGGAAUAUGGAGAAUUUUGCAAGUCUGAACCCCUACUAUAAAUGAAAACAUUGUGGCAAAAAAUGUAAAUAAAUGCCACACAUACUUUGUGUAAGAGCCCUUCCCAAUACCUAUAAAUAUGGUAAUUUUGGUGUUUCCCAAUUCUGAGUUUUAAACAGGAGACAGACACAUUAAAUACUCCAAAGCAAGGAUUUUAUUUUUUUCAUGGAUUAAUUUUAUAAUUUCACUUCUAACUUACCUGAAAAGAAUUAAUGGAAACUAA
ensembl:lncRNA